GGAGACCUGAGACCCCGGUCUCCUCCAGGUGGGUGUGACAUUUGCUGGGACCCCUGCCUGUUCACCCUUCUCUGCCCACCUCUCUCUGGGUCCCAGCCCCUGACUCUCCCUUUCCCACUGGGAGGCUUUGAUGUGGACUGGCCUGUGUAGUCAGCACCCCCUGAGGCUGGGUGGGCGGGGGACCCUCUCCCCUCUAAUUUGCUCUGUGCUUGAGGGGCUGGGGGUGUGCCAUAAAAACAGGGUGGAGCAUGGGGCGCCUGGGUGGCGCAGUCGGUUAAGCGUCCGACUUCAGCCGGGUCACGAUCUCGCGGUCCGUGAGUUCGAGCCCCGCGUCAGGCUCUGGGCUGAUGGCUCAGAGCCUGGAGCCUGUUUCCGAUUCUGUGUCUCCCUCUCUCUCUGCCCCUCCCCCGUUCAUGCUCUGUCUCUCUCUGUCCCAAAAAAUAAAUAAACGUUGAAAAAAAAAUUAAAAAAAAAAAAAAAAAAAACAGGGUGGAGCGAACCCCCGCCUAGCCUGGAUUCAGGCUGGUGGGAGGAAGAUACAAGGGCGGUUAUGAAAUCCGGGGGCCUCUGCCCACGCCCAGUGCCGCUCUUUCUAGAUCUUCGCGCCCACGCCCAAACAAGAUACUGGAAAGAAAAGCCGGAAAACUUGGUAUAAAAGCGUUUGACCCCUUUUCUCCUCCACGUGAAAGGCAAAAUUCUCGCAACGACCUACCAGGCGCUACCCGACCUACCCUCCGCCCAUCCCUGUCCGGGCCUGCAGCCUGGAAACCUGCCUCCGGAGACGUCCCCAUGGGUGAGUCCCUCCCUUCUUCAAGUCACUUGCUCAGAGACCACCGUCUCACGAGGCCUGCCCCACCACUCUGAAACUGCCAGCCGCCGCCUCCUGCCCCAUUCCCGACCUGCCUUCUUUCCCCGCCGGCAACCAUUGCUUGUAACGCACCAAAAUCUGUGCUCUCAAAUUGACAAAUUCUGUUUAUAGUUAAUUACCUUUCCGUGUUAAAAAGUAAGCUUCCUGGUGGCAGGAUCUCUAUGUUCUGCUCACUGAUGUAUCUAUCCCCAAGUUCUGGAACAGGGUCAGGCAUAUAAUAAUAGGUGCUUAGGGGCACCUGGGUGGCUCAGUCGGUUGGGUGGCCAACUUCACCUCAGGUCAUGAUCUUGCGGUCUGUGAGUUCGAGCCCCGCGUCGGGCUCCUUCCUGACUGCUUGGAGCCUGGAGCCUGCUUCAAAUUCUGUGUCUCCUUCUCUCUCUGCCCCUUCCCCAUUCUCACUCUGUCUUUCAAAAAUGAAUAAAUGUUAAAAAAAUUAAAAAAAAAUAAUAAUAGGUGUUUAAUGUUUUGGGAAUUGACACAAAUUGAAUCCUCCCCAUAGGUCUACUAGUCUCUGACUCUCCUUCCCUACAGACCGUUUCCAUGAUUCCGUUGAUCCCACCUGUUUCCCAACACACACACCAUACACACUCAUACACACACACACACACCAGGACCAGGAAUCUAACCUCCCAGCCCUCAUCUCUAAAUCCUUUUGGACUUUCAGGGAGAGGAAAUCUUUCCAAGAGUAUCUCACAGACCCAAUCAAGAAAGCUGAAUACACGUAAGUAGCCAAAAGAAUCCUGGUGUGUGUGUGUGUGUGUGUGUGUGUGUGUGCGCGCGCGCGUGUGUUUUAACCGAAACGGGAAUAUCUUAUUCAUUUUGCUACUUACAAAAAUAACAUUAAAAAAAGAUAACCCAAGGGGCACCUGGCUGGCCCAGUCGGUGGAACGUGCAACUCGUGAUCUCAGGGUUGUGAGUUCAAGCCCCACAUUAGAUGUAGAGCUUACUUUAAAAAAUAAAAAUAAGGACAGCACCUCGGUGGCUCAGUGGGUUGAGCCAGGGUUGUGGGAUCAAGCCCAGUGUCGGGCUCUGAGUUGACCAUGGAGCCUGCUUAAGAUUCUCUCUCUCUCUCCCUCUGCCACUCUCCUCCCCCACUCACACACACUCUCUCUCUCUCUCUCAAAUAAAAAUAAAUAAAUAAUAGGGGCGCCUUGGUGGCUCAGUCGGUGAAGUGUCCGACUCUUGGUUUCGGCUCAGGUCAUGAUCUUGUGGUUGGUGGGUUUGAGCCCUACGUCAGGCUCCAUGCUGCUGACGGGGCAGAGUCUGCUUGGGAUUCUCCCUCUCUCUGCUCCCACCCUGCUCUCUCUCUCUCUCUCUUUCUCAAAAUAAAUAAACUUUUAAAAUAAACAAAUAAAUAAAUAGUGUAACCCCAAAGUGCUGGUUAUUAGCUGCAAACACGAAUGGCACUUGACACUUUCUAAAACCCAGGGGUGAGUGGGGAUGCCGGCAGAAGAGGAAUGGAGUGGACUGGAUCCCCCUGGGCCCUUCGCUGUCCUCCCUCACUUUCCCGCUGCCUCUCUCUGUCCUGACUGACCCACCCGGAGUCCUCCUAUCUGCCUAGCUGUUGGUGAGAGAUGUCCCCUCCUCCCCCAAACUGAAGCUCCCUAGGACUGCACUCGGAAUGUUCUAACAUUCCUGACCAAGAGGCUCUACUGGGCCCCACUGCUCAAAGCAACCACAAGGACGAAAAAAAAAAACACACGACUUUUCAGAGCUAUAAAAUCACCGUCUGUUUAUUUAUAUGUGUGCGCCGUCUCAUUCGAAAAGAAACUGAGCUCUGAAAAUCAUACCGUGCGACACCCACCAGAUUAUUUUUGUACGGACACGUAUUUGUUGUGCAAAUACUUUUGCAAAGGUAGUGAAGGUUUUUUCGUGUAGUAAUACAGCGUCCCACCCCUACCAAGGCAAAAGCUUUCUCUUUUUCCAUAUUCCAGGGACACCAUCAUCGUUUCGAGUCUGUAUUCUGCCUUCUCUUAUUUAGCGUUGCUUUAUGACCCUUUGUCAUGUUGCUACACGGUCUUCGUAACUACAGCUUUUCCUGGAAUAUAAUAUUGCAUCAACUAGGUUUUACCACCUUGGUAAGAGCAGUAAAAGUCUUCUAGGAAAUGCUUCACGCCCCCACCCCCACCCCACUCCAUAUGGUUCCAGUGGGACAGCCAACCACAGGCCAUCUGACCCAGGUUUGGUCAAUCCUCUGGUCACAGAGAAUGGCCCAGGAAUGCAGGAGUCACCCAAGCAGGGACAGCCUCCCUGGGAAAGAGCCGCUUUCUCUUUCCUCCAAGGGCACAAAGCAGGAACAAGGUUAAGUCUAGCGCCAUCAGACUUGGCCUUUCCCCCACCCCACCCGCCAUCCCCACCCUAGUCAAUUCAAUGGGGAGAAAAUGAGCCCCAUACCCCAGGGAAGCAGAGACAAGAGAUGGAGGGGGGCUGACAACUCAUUUUUGUCCACUGGACCACCCCAUUUCCUGAGCCACUAAAUUCUUUCAUGCUUAAGCUAGUUUCAGCUGGGUUUCUGUCACUUAUUGCUGAAAGAAUCUUGACUAUUGUAAUUCAUUCCCUAGGGCCGGACGUGUGGGUCGCUUUCAGGUUUUGUCAUUACAAUCAAGGCUGCAAUGCACAUCCUUUUCUGUGCAAAACACUUGCAAUUUGAAAUGUGAUUCACGAAGGAACCCUAGGAGACACUUAGACUGUUCCUUGAAAAUCAGGUAGGGCUUGGCCAGGCCAAGAGGCAAGGCUGGGUGCCCAUCUGGGGGAACCACAGAGAGUGGGCCCAUCUGGAGAACUGUGGGGAGAGAGUCUUGGCUGAAAUGGAAAGAAGGUUAGGAGGCUGGAGGAACAGGCACAGAAGGUUUCUGAGUGGGGGUGGCGGGGGCGGAGAGAAAUGGUUUUGACCAUUUCCUUACCCACCCCCACCUUCUGGUACCUGGUUCUCCUUCAGGGAGCCACCAUCAUUCUAGUCCACAUGGCCCAGAAGCAGCCCGCCAACACGUGCUCUCUUCCCUAGCCACCGAGACUGAUUCAGGGGUGAGCCUGUGACACACGCAGGGCCAAAGCAUAAUCCACGCAGGACGUAGGCGCCAAUCACUGAAAAAGACAUUCUAUGCUCUCUGGUAGGUUAUUUUCCGAAGAUGGUUGCAACAUUCCCUCCCAUCCCAAAUUCCCUUUUGCAAUGGGACUCUGACACUCUUCUCAUUAAGAGGAAGAAUUUAGGGUGACUCAGUCGGCCAAGCAAUCGACUCUUGAUCUCGGCUCAGGUCACAAUCUUGCAGUCUGUGAGUUCGAGCCCCAUGUCAGGAUUGGGAUCCUGUCUCCCUCUCUCUCUGCCCGUCCACAGCUUGUGUGCUCUCGCUCUCCAAAUAAAUAAACUUAAAGAGAGAGGAAGAAUUUAUUUUCCCUCCAGUUCAACCUGGGCUGGCCCCGUGACCUGCUUUGAUCAAGAGAACGUGAAGAAUGACACUGUGCCUGUUCGGGGCCUGGGCCUGAAGAGGACUGACAGCUUCAUCUUUGUUUUCUUAGGAGCCAGCCGUCGUGUACAGAAAUGUCGGUGAGACUACUGAAUGGUGACCGGCCAUGUGGAGGGAGAAGCCACUUGGAGAACCAGGAUGCCCCAGCCAUCAGCUAGGAUGGAGAUCUUAGGACACGUGAGAAGGCCAUGUUGGAUUCUCCAGCCCCACCCAACUAAUACCACACAGGGCAUCCACACUGAGCCCUGCCCAAAUCCUUUUUUUUCCUCCCAAAUUCUUCUUAACGUUUAUUUAUUUUUGAGAGAGAGAGACAGAGCGUGAGUGGGUAAGGGGCAGAGAGAGGGAGACACAGAAUCGGAAGCAGGCUCCAGGCUCCGGGCUGUCAGCACAGAGCCCGUCGCGAGGCUUGAACCCACAAACCGUGAGAUCGUGACCUGAGCCGAAGCCGGAUGCUUAACCGCCUGGGUGCCCCAGCCCAAAUUCUUGAUCCACAGACUUCUGAGCAAAGAAAUGGUUUGUGUGUCAG
rnacentral:lncRNA from 1 species